rnacentral:lncRNA from 1 species
GCUAAUCGAGUGCUGCUCUCCCUUUUGCCCAUUAUGUCUUCCGCGGAUCCAACACCUCCUACACAAAUCAACCAAGCCUCUGUUAGUUUGGUUCUUUUCUGUAUAAAACAUCAUCAGAUGGAUUACACAAGGCCAGGUGUGAUGUUUACCUCAGUGGAACGAUUGGAGCUUAAAUGUGUCUACAUUUCCAUGGUAGCACUUGAUUUGGGUUGUUGCAGAAAAGAGUGUGUGGUUGCGUGGCUAAGGCUAAGGGUUUGUGUCGAGGUGCAAGAGAAGGGUAAACCAUUGAAGUCGAAAUGGUGAAUGUGGUGCAGCUAGGUUCUAAAAUGUGAGAACGGGAGAGCAAUUUCUGAUUUUAGUGAGAAAGAGGGCUGAAAAAUAAAAAAUAAAAUGGAAGGUUUGUAUGAAGAGGGAUGCCGAACUGAGAAGACAAUGGAGAGAUUAAAAGCCUUUUCAGAUUUUCUAGAGAGAGCUAGAUGGGCACAUGGGGUUAAUCUUAACCCUUGAUUUGGAAUCCUAUGGAGCUACCCUUCCUGAUGCAUGACACGGGUGUGCAUCAUCAGUUUUUUAUGCUCCUUAGGACAUAGUUUGAAGAGAGGGGAGAGAGCCGUUUGGGCUCUGGGUUUGAUGACUGACAUGUACUGAUGCUUGACGCCAAUUUCAACACGGCAUGCUAGCUGCAUGCCUUUCAAAGAAGGGAAUCCAAUGUUUUCAAAUGUUGGUGCACAGGUUUUGGUGCACAUGUGCCGUGCACAUGGACUUGGUGUGUGGUCUGGGUUCUCAAUGAAGUGGGCUCUUUGUGGCUUUUUAUUUGGCUACCCAUUUAUUAACCAGCAACUUCAUUUUCCAGCCCAGGUAAUAUCUUUCUUUUUCUUUGGUUUUGUUAAUCAUUUUCACUUUUGUAAUUAUUAUAUUUUAGUUUAAGUUUAUUUCAUUUUUGUCAUGUUUCUUUUAUUUUCCACACCUUGAGGACAACGUGUGAAAUAAGUUUGGGGGUGGGAAAGUAAAAUUUUAGGAUUUUAAUUUUUUUGUCAAGUUAAAAUUUUUCUUUUUAAGUUAAUAUCCAUAGAUUAUUUUAAACGUUGGAACAAAUGGACAUGGUGAAGAUUAAUCCCACAGUAGAGUCUUUUCUAUUUAUCGUUGCUUAGACACUAAUUCAUGAAUUAUACUUUGAACUUUGCACAUCACACCAACAUGGUUUGUGGGGAGUGAGAUUGAAACACUUACUUUUAGUCUAAGUUUAUUUUUAAUUUUUGUUUUAAGUAAAGUCAGUUAUUAUUGUGAAUAAAGUAAUAAUUGUCUCACCCGAGGUUUU